rnacentral:lncRNA from 1 species
AUGACGAAAUCAGCUGGAGCAUCGAUUAUGGAAAUGAGUAGCACCAGUAAUCUGCCCCCCCUGCGAAACCUGCCCAGCUGGAGCAGGGUGCGAGAUCUGGACCGGGUGAGAUACCCCAGACUCCUGUCCAGUGACCCUGUGGUCAGAGCUCCACCUGUGGGCAUCAAGAGCCCAAAAGCAGCUGCUCAGCCCAGGACAGACACACACGGCACAAGCAUCGCCUCUCUGGAGAAAGCUGUUCUGUUCCUCCAGCAGCAGCAUACAGACACGCUGGAGAGACUGCAUGCAGAAGUUGAAGAUCUGAAGCGUGUUAAUAAAGAAUUACAGUAUAAGUUGAUUAUGGAACAUGGAAAUACUCCUAAAAAGUGCAUAUGGUCCAACAGUAAUUCCUCAAAAUCCAGCAGUGAUGGUUCAGCCGAGAAGAAUUCCCAGUGUGGAUUCAUCAGCUCAGAGGAGGCCUGCGAGGCGGGAGGAGGAGGCGCAGUCACGUCUCUGCUGCCUCUCAGGAUCACCUGCAGCCCGUCCCAGCAGCCCCGCACCCCGACACUGAAAGAGUGUGAGCUCAUCAUCCAGCAGCUCUAUCACGCCAACACUGCACAGAAUCAGGAGCUGCUGCGGAUCAAGACGGUCCUCAGAGAAAUCACUUCCAGAAACAGAUCAGCUGCUGAAGUUUUCUCUCGUGCAAGAGCCUCGCUCUGUGACAACAGCAGGGGUGACGUUUUCGAGCAUUUUUCCGAAACUACCUCUCAAACCACUCCCAAAGAAACAGAUCCUGAAGGUUAAAGGAGAACCCGUGCUCCUCCCGGCCAUCAAGCACAGUCUCGGCAGCAGCAUGUCCGAGUGGCAGAGGAGAGCGCAGGACGAGCACAGACUGCGUUUCAGGAGAGCGGUGAACUCUUAACCCUCCUCUGCAGUGCUUCUGUCAUUGUGCCUUCCUGUUUGCUGAUUAGAAGGUCUUACAGUUCUUAAACAAAAAGGCUUAAACAUCUCAUUCAGUCUCUCUAUAAGCUGAAGGAAGGUCAAUCUCAUUCAGUCUCUCUAUAAGCUGAAGGAAGGUCAAAAACAUGUAUUUUUUCUGUAUCUCUUCCACAGAGACGGGAGGAAUUUAGCGAACGGCUGUUGAUCACGUUUGAUUCCCUAAUGAACUAAAUAAGAAUCUUUCCAGAGAAGCAGCCAAAUGUCAAAGACGAGACGAGAGCUAAGCUGCCCAUCCUCCAACAGGAAGAUCCGUAAACUCUGAGACAGACACAAUAUAUACAACCAAAUCUCUUAGAAAACCUUGAUUUGAUGUGAAUUUCCCUGAAGGUUCCAAAAGGCUGAUUUGAGCUUGACAAUGCAGUCUAAAUUCUGCUUUAACUCUCUUUAAAUAAAUGCACCAGCAACAUUUUAUAACAUGUUAUUAUUUUUGUAGAGUUCUUGUUCCUGGACUCAUGCAGUGACCUGUAAGUGUUCAUUUCUUCACUAAGGCUGAGUAUGUUUUAUCUGUAGUGCACUAGUGUAUUAUGGCCGUUGAGAAGUUUUUAUAGUGCGUCCUUUUGGAUCUCUAACUGAUGACUACAACCAACUGGAUCCGUGCCCGGGCCUCCAGCAGACACCACAUAGUAUUACUGUGUUUAAGAGCCUUAUUAAGUAAUGGGUUUUAGAUGGCACUAUCUCAUUCAGUUCAAUUCAAUCAGAUGCUCUAGAUGUCUCAAACAGCAAACGUUCAACACGUUUCUCAAAUUCAGUCUACCCAAUAAAACAUUUUAAUAACACAUUGCUUGGAAAGUUUGAAUUGUUUGAUAAAUAAAUCCAUACAGAAUAAUGUCAUUUUUUCUUUUACAAUGUUGCAUAUGGCAGUUUUUAGGCAAUUCAACAAAGGGUUAUUAUAGUUAACUAAAACUAUAUUUAAAAAAAUAUAUUUCUUGAAAUAAACGUUAACUGAAAUAAAAUAAAAAUAAAACAUGUUUAUUGUAACAUUUCUUAUUUUAAUAAAAACUUAGACAUUUUCUCUCUCUCUCUAAAAAGUUUUUAGGGAUAAAGAUUUCCAGUGUGGACCCUAAACAAUAAAUUCUCUUUCUCUCUCUCUCUCUCUCUCUCUCUCUCUCUCGUGUCAAGAAGGACAGUAAAGAAGCCACUUCUCUCCAAGGAAAAUAUCAAGGACAGAUUGUAAUUCUGCAGGAAGUACAAGGAUUGGACAGCACAAGACUGGUGCAAAGUAAUUUUCUCUGAAGCUUCCUUCUGACUGUUUGGGACAUCUGGAAAAUAGAUUGAUCGGAGAAGAAAAGGUGAACACUGCCAUGAGUCAUGCGUUGUGCCAACAGUGAAGCAUCCUGAGACCACCCAUGUGUGGGUUGGAUUUCAACCAAGGGAGUGGGCUCUCUCAUAAUUCUAUCCAAAAACUCUGCCACAAAUAAAGAAUGGUAUCAAAAUGCCCUGCAAGAGCGACUUCUUCCAAUGAUCCAUGAGCAAUUUGGUGAUGAUCCAUGUGUUUUCCAGCAUGAUGGAGUGCCAUGUCACAAAGCAAGAGUGAUAAAGAAGUGGGUCGAAGAUCAUUACAUUGAAAUUUUGGAUCCAUGGCCAGGCAACUCCCUGGAUCUCAGUCCCAUAGAGAACCUGUGGUCAGUCCUCAAAAGGUGAGUGUACAAGCAGAAACCCACAAAUUGUGAUCAACUUCAAGAACUAAUAAGGCAAGAACGGAUCGCCAUCAGUCAGGAUUUGGCCCAGAAUCUAAUAUCCAGCAUGCCAGCGUGAAUUGCAGAGGUUAUGAAGAACAAGGGUCAACACUGUAAAUAUUGACUCAUUACAUAUAUAAUUAUUUUGUGUUUGUUUUGCCAAUAAAAGCUUUUAAAACAUGCGUAUCCUUGUUUUUCAGUAUACCAUAGAAAAAUGUGGAAAAAUUAUCUACAAAUACUGAAGCAGCAAACUUUGCAAAACACAAAAUGUAUGUCAUAGCCAAAACUAUGUUCCA